GAGUUUGAUCCGGGCUCAGGACGAACGCUGGCGGCGUGCUUAACACAUGCAAGUCGAGCGAUGAAGCUCCUUCGGGAGUGGAUUAGCGGCGGACGGGUGAGUAACACGUGGGUAACCUGCCUCAUAGAGGGGAAUAGCCUUCCGAAAGGAAGAUUAAUACCGCAUAAGAUUGUAGUUUCGCAUGAAACAGCAAUUAAAGGAGUAAUCCGCUACGAGAUGGACCCGCGUCGCAUUAGCUAGUUGGUAGGGUAAUGGCCUACCAAGGCGACCAUCGGUAGCCGGCCUGAGAGGGUGAUCGGCCACACUGGAACUGAGACACGGCCCAGACUCCUACGGGAGGUAGCAGUGGGGAAUUUUGCGCAAUGGGCGGAAGCCUGACCCAGCAACGCCGCGUGGAGGAUGAAGGUCUUUGGAUUGCAACUCCUGUAAG
rnacentral:rRNA from 1 species